rnacentral:rRNA from 1 species
UUAACGAUCGUAGUGACCUGCGGAAGGAUCAUUAAAGAGUAAGGGUGCUCAGCGCCCGACCUCCAACCCUCUGUUGUUAAAACUACCUUGUUGCUUUGGCGGGACCGCUCGGUCUCGAGCCGCUGGGGAUUCGUCCCAGGCGAGCGCCCGCCAGAGUUAAACCAAACUCUUGUUAUAUAAACCGGUCGUCUGAGUUAAAAUUUUGAAUAAAUCAAAACUUUCAACAACGGAUCUCUUGGUUCUCGCAUCGAUGAAGAACGCAGCGAAAUGCGAUAAGUAAUGUGAAUUGCAGAAUUCAGUGAAUCAUCGAAUCUUUGAACGCACAUUGCGCCCCUUGGUAUUCCGAGGGGCAUGCCUGUUCGAGCGUCAUUACACCACUCAAGCUAUGCUUGGUAUUGGGCGUCCGUCCCUUCGGGGGCGCGCCUUAAAGACCUCGGCGAGGCCUCACCGGCUUUAGGCGUAGUAGAAUUUAUUCGAACGUCUGUCAAUGGAGAGGACUUCUGCCGACUGAAACCUUUUAUAUUUUUCUAGGUUGACCUCGGAUCAGGUAGGGAUACCCGCUGAACUUAAGCAUAUCAUAG